GCAACCUGAAAGCAAGGAAUUAUAGUAGUUCAGCCUGGAAGUAGCAAAUGCUUGGACAACUUUUUCACCAUCGUUUUGAGACAGGAUGUGCCUGAUUCUGGUAAUGUUACGACGGUGAAAAAACGCUGUUCUUGAGGUUUGUUUUAAGUGGGCAUUAAAGGAUAUACACUGUUCAAAAAUAACUGCA